UACGAAGGGGGCGAGCGUUGUUCGGAAUUACUGGGCGUAAAGGGCGCGUAGGCGGCGAACCAAGUCAGAUGUGAAAGUCCUGGGCUUAACCUGGGGACUGCAUUUGAUACUGGUUUGCUUGAAUUCGGGAGAGGAUAGCGGAAUUCCCAGUGUAGAGGGUGAAAUUCGUAGAUAUUGGGAAGAACACCGGUGGCGAAGGCGGCUACCUGGUCCAUUACUGACGCUGAGGCGCGACAGCGUGG
rnacentral:rRNA from 1 species